UGCGGAGGGUGCGAGCGUUGUCCGGAUUUAUUGGGUUUAAAGGGUGCGUAGGUGGCUGAUUAAGUCAGUGGUGAAAUACAGCCGCUCAACGGUUGAGGUGCCAUUGAUACUGAUCAGCUUGAAAUAAUUGGAGGCUGCCGGAAUGGAUGGUGUAGCGGUGAAAUGCAUAGAUAUCAUCCAGAACACCGAUUGCGAAGGCAGGUGGCUACGAUUUAUUUGACACUGAGGCACGAAAGCGUGGGGAGCGAUCCGG
rnacentral:rRNA from 1 species